rnacentral:misc_RNA from 1 species
UCUCUCGGUCUCUCCUCUACAAUUCAGAUGGUGGAUCUGCAAUGCCUUCAAAGCUUCCUACUACAAUCCCUUGCCUCAUCUUCCUCUCCGUCCUCCUCCUCUACCUCUACUCCACUUCGCUCCUCCCUUACUCCUCUACAUCCAUCACCACACUUUCUCCUUCUACAACUUGCAAUCUCUUCGAAGGCCACUGGGUCUUAGACCCUGAGGCCCCCAAACCCUUUUACGAUGAGUCCUGCCCAUUUCAUAGAAACGCCUGGAACUGCCUUAGGAACAACAGAGACAACAUGGGUCUCAUCAAUUCCUGGAAAUGGGUGCCCCAAAAAUGCAAUUUGCCACGGAUUGAUCCGCAGAGAUUUCUAGGGAUAAUGAGAAAUAGGAACAUUGGAUUUGUUGGCGAUUCUUUAAAUGAGAAUUUUUUGGUGUCGUUUUUGUGUAUUCUUAGAGUGGCUGAUGCUGGUGCGAAGAGGUGGAAAAAGAAGGGGGCUUGGAGAGGUGCUUAUUUCCCUAAAUUCAAUGUCACCGUGGCAUAUCACCGGGCUGUUUUGCUCUCCAAAUAUCAGUGGCAGCCAAAACAGUCUGCAGUUGCGAAUGAUGGACUGAAGGGAAUGUAUCGUGUAGAUGUUGACAUACCUGCAGAUGAAUGGGCCACGAUCAAUGAUUUUUAUGAUGUUCUUAUAUUUAAUACUGGGCAUUGGUGGGGCCAUGACAAAUUUCCAAAAGAGACACCUCUUGUUUUUUAUCGUGCUGGCCAACCGAUACUUCCUCCUCUUGGGUUGUUUGAUGGACUUAAAGCUGUUCUUGACAAUAUGGUCUCAUAUAUACAAAAAGAAGUUCCUGGCAAGACUCUCAAGUUUUGGCGGCUGCAAUCACCGCGGCAUUUUUAUGGCGGUGAGUGGAACCAAAAUGGAAGUUGCUUGUUCAAUGAGCCCCUCAAGGAAUAUGAGGUAUAAAUAAGUUGAUGAUGGCAGUUCGCCUUUAUGAGUACUUACCAAUUGUAAUGAUUAAUGACAAGUUGUCCAGCAUUUUUGCAUUCUAGUCCUUGUUGGAGUUAAGCCUUGGACUUUUCAGAUCUCUUUCAAAAUAUUGAACUUGUACUUAAAUAUGUUUAAUCCAGAGGUUCAAAAUUUUGAAGAAAAAUCUUUAUGAAGUAAAAUUUGACCUUCAACACCAUGAACCUUUAUAGUGUUUCAGUAUUUCUAUUCUUGCAUUUUCUUAUUCAUAUUUCAUACUUCAACCUGGACAGCUUGAUUUGUGGUUUGAUCCCAGCAAGAAUGGAGUGAAUAAAGAAGCAAGGCAAAUUAAUCAUGCAAUUAAACAGAAGUUGCAAGGCACAGAUAUUCACUUGCUGGAUCUGACUCAUUUGAGUGAAUAUAGAGCAGAUGCGCACCCUGCAAUCUGGUUAGGGAAGAAGGAUGCUGUGGCAAUCUGGGGUCAGGAUUGCAUGCACUGGUGCCUACCUGGUGUUCCUGACACAUGGGUUGACAUCUUGUCAGAGCUUAUCCGUCAAGGUGUUUCGAGGAACUGAUAAAGAGAGAAGGCUACAUUAACAAGUUGUAUCCAGAUUUUGUUUUGCGGAUUUCUGUACAUUACACGGUAAAAUGCAAUGGAGUUCAUGGACCAAUUUAUAGAAUCUGGCUAUCAGAAUACAGGCUGGUGUUUUAGACAGACAUCCUGAUGAUAUUACUUCCAGGAGAUUCAGAUGGAAUAAUCUUCCUUACAUCGUUUUCACGUUGAUGUUCUGAAGGGAACUAAAUUUGUUCCCAGUGUAAACAGAUGAGUGAGAUUUUGGAACAGGAAAAAAAAAGGGGAAAUAGGAAAUUCUUUAGGGUGGUGAAAUAGGUGAUUGGAAGGGUUAUUGAAUGACUGCAUUUUUCUUCCACAUGUUCCUGUACGUUUCAAUUGUCUAAUUUCUGUACACAAUUAUUUCUUUCAAUUUAUAUUUCACUCUUCUUCUCUUGAACUGGAAA